CUACGGGGUGCACCAGUGGGGAAUAUUGGACAAUGGGCGCAAGCCUGAUCCAGCAAUACCGCGUGUGUGAAGAAGGCCUGCGGGUUGUAAAGCACUUUCAAUUGUGAAGAAAAGCCUGGGGUUAAUACCCUCGGGUCUUGACGUUAACUUUAGAAGAAGCACCGGCUAACUCCGUGCCAGCAGCCGCGGUAAUACGGAGGGUGCGAGCGUUAAUCGGAAUUACUGGGCGUAAAGCGUACGUAGGCGGCUAGGUCAGUCAGAUGUGAAAGCCCCGGGCUUAACCUGGGAACUGCAUUUGAUACUGCCUGGCUAGAGGAUGGUAGAGGGAAGUGGAAUUACGGGUGUAGCGGGGAAAUGCGUAGAUAUCCGGAGGAACACCAGUGGCGAAGGCGACUUCCUGGACCAAUACUGACGCUGAGGUACGAAAGCGUGGGUAGCAAACAGGAUUAGAUACCCGUGUAGUC
rnacentral:rRNA from 1 species